AUUUAUCCUCGGGGCGGGGUGAAAUUCCCCACCGGCGGUGUUGAGACAGGAUCGGACGCGUUCAUGCGCUUCCUUGAUCAGUCUCUCAGUCCGUGACCCGUAAUCUGUGCCUUGUGGCCGGAUGCGGUGGAUCUGGUGAGAAUCCGGAGCCGACAGUAUAGUCUGGAUGGGAGAGGAAAGAG
rnacentral:ncRNA from 1 species